rnacentral:rRNA from 1 species
UACGAAGGGGGCUAGCGUUGUUCGGAUUUACUGGGCGUAAAGCGCACGUAGGCGGAUUGUUAAGUCGGGGGUGAAAUCCUGGAGCUCAACUCCAGAACUGCCUUCGAUACUGGCAAUCUAGAGUCCGGAAGAGGUGAGUGGAACUCCUAGUGUAGAGGUGGAAUUCGUAGAUAUUCGGAAGAACACCAGUGGCGAAGGCGACAUACUGGCUCAUUACUGACGCUGAGGCUCGAAAGCGUGGGGAGCAAACAGG